GUAAGUAUAGGUUAUGUUGAGGCAACGAAGGGAUAUGUGACUUAUCGCGUUAAUGAGUCAGAAUAGAAAUAUUUCUUAAUGCCAUAUUGCCUUUGUUAUGUUGUUAUUUCUCAUUUUUUGUGCUGCAAAGACAUUGCAGGUGAAUUUUAGAGGGGGUUAUUAAUUGCAGGUGAAUCUUAGAGGGGAUUAUUAAAUGGAAAUUGAUUAGAGGAG